rnacentral:miRNA from 1 species
GAGGGACUUUCAGGGGC